rnacentral:rRNA from 1 species
AACGCGAAGAACCUUACCAGCCUUUGACAUGUCAGGACGACUUCCGGAGACGGAUUUCCUCCAGCAAUGGACCUGAACACAGGUGCUGCAUGGCUGUCGUCAGCUCGUGUCGUGAGAUGUUGGGUUAAGUCCCGCAACGAGCGCAACCCUCGCCUUUAGUUGCCAUCAUUCAGUUGGGCACUCUAAAGGGACUGCCGGUGAUAAGCCGCGAGGAAGGUGGGGAUGACGUCAAGUCCUCAUGGCCCUUACGGGCUGGGCUACACACGUGCUACAAUGGCGGUGACAGUGGGAUGCGAGCCUGCGAGGGUGAGCAAAUCUCCAAAAGCCGUCUCAGUUCGGAUUGCACUCUGCAACUCGAGUGCAUGUAGUUGGAAUCGCUAGUAAUCGUGGAUCAGCACGCCACGGUGAAUACGUUCCCGGGCCUUGUACACACCG